rnacentral:rRNA from 1 species
AGUGAACGCUGGCGGCAUGCCUAACACAUGCAAGUCGAACGGCAGCACAGCAGUAGCAAUACUGUGGGUGGCGAGUGGCGGACGGGUGAGGAACACAUCGGAAUUUGCCCAGUCGUGGGGGAUAACGUAGGGAAACUUACGCUAAUACCGCAUACGACCUUACGGUGAAAGCGGGGGAUCGCAAGACCUCGCGCGGAUGGAUGAGCCGAUGUCGGAUUAGCUAGUUGGUGGGGUAAAGGCCUACCAAGGCGACGAUCCGUAGCUGGUCUGAGAGGAUGAUCAGCCACACUGGGACUGAGACACGGCCCAGACUCCUACGGGAGGCAGCAGUGGGGAAUAUUGGACAAUGGGGGCAACCCUGAUCCAGCAAUGCCGCGUGUGUGAAGAAGGCCUCGGUUGUAAGCACUUUAUCCGGUACGAACGUAGCGGGUGGAAUAGCCUCGUAAACUGACGGUACCGGAGGAAUAAGCACCGGCUAACUUCGUGCCAGCAGCCGC